AUGUACCUCGAUGUAAUGGGCCUAUAAAUAGAGGAGACCUUUUAAUCCCAAAAUAAACAACAAUAAUCUUAAGUUUACUUUUCUCUCUCUUUUUCGUCUUUAGUUUUUUGUUUUUGUCAACCGAUAUUAAUUAAAUAUAGUUUAAAAGAGUUAUUCAUAAGGAAUGUUGUUUACAUAUGUGAUAUGAUGCGAUUCAGUACAGAUUUUCCGUGCCAAAUUAUCCGCUUUACCACGAGAGAUUAAAGAUAAAGAAAAACUAAUGAAUUCUCCUUUGUGGUUAUGUAAUUCCUUCAAAUAAGCUGAAAAAGCUGGUCAUUCGGUUGAAGUGGAGAAGACACCAUCUUCACUAGGUCUGAACAGUCUGUUAAGAAAACUACAUCUUGGUUAUCGGCGUCAAUCAUACACCUCAUACCCCAUUUUUUAGUUCUUCCUUCAAUUCUACGGAUUUAGAUCUAUUUCAAUAAAGCAAUUCCUCAUUAAUCUCAAUUAGAUUUU
rnacentral:sRNA from 1 species